AGUUCCCAACUCAGCUGCGAUUAGACCAUAAAUAGACCUUAUAUAGAACCUGAAUAGACCUUAGUUACAGGACAUGAGAUGCCGUUAGAAGAACCUCGGGUCUGGUGACUUUGGUGAUGGACAGUUUUGAACAUCCGUGAAGAUGAGCAAGAUGAAACGGAAGCGGUUUAAGUCGAGACACGCUUGAGUGGAGGUUUUGUUGACUUUGGAUCACUGUGCUUAAUCCCCGUGUUUAUUCAGGAUUUCAUCUGCUUCUACUUUGAAUUAAGGCGACGUUUGAAAAGAUCAAGCCGCUGCAGGAUCUUCUUGCUCCUGUCGUCUGUGCAGAAGUCGGACAAGACUCUCCUGUGGACCAGAACUACGCCAUUGAGGAGCAGCCAAGACCCGAACCAGAACAGAAGGAAGACCAGCGUACCUCGGCGAGACCACAACCUGAGGCCCAACCAGCGUAGGAAGUAAACCCCGGCGGCCAUGACAGCUGUGACCGGGCCCACCGUCCUCAGACGUGGGUCCAAAAGUCAAGAAGCGUCUAAGAAGUUGAGUAAAUCCUGGUUAACAUGUCCCCCAUGACGGUUUGCACUCUUCAGUACAAGAUCUCCAACUGGAAGCAGCUGGCGCCGUAACAGGUCCAACAACAGAAGGCGAUUGAUGCGCGGACAUCUGGACUUAUUGGACGUCCUCCAGAACGACAACCAAAACCAUCCCCAGCUGGCCGUGCUCUCUGGGAAAAAGAAAUCAAAUACUGACAAUUGGAAUGUCCUUUGUGAAAACAAGGCGGACUUAGUUUUCUGGACAAAACCCAAAUUCUUCAGAACUUGUCACACGAGACAAGACCGUUGUCAUUCACUAGCAGCUUUUACGUCUUCAGAUCCAACAGAACUGAUCUCUCUGAUGUCCAAGACAAAUACUCCAGAGAUGAUUCAAGACUUCUGAGGUUUAUAGUUCUGCUGCACAUAUUUGUUUUAACCGUCCAACAACCCGACACGGUUUCCUUCAGCUUACUACUUUGUGGUCAGGUUUCAGUCCAAAAAGCUGACUGAGGUUCUGGUGCUAGAGCCCGUCACAGAGAUCUCGGGCCCACUUGAUGAAGUGGGACGCCCGAGGGAGAGACAAAUGAGAACCAGGAGGUGUUCUGUUUGGCUCUUACUUGUGUAGCCCCGCAACUUGAGACUGCUCCGAUGCGGUUUUGCUUCAUGGAUCAGAGGUGACCCAUGAAGGGUUCUAAGUGUGACUAGAUUGAGGUGACUUGUAGGUACGCCUCAUUCUUCCACCAUCACGCUAACCAUUUCCUUCACAAAGUUCUGUUCAGUCCAAGAGUUUGUCUUCUCGGGUUCAUCAAGUCAAAGCAGGAGAAGAAAAAGUGUCUUCUUCGAGAUCCAAAAGGUGAGCUGCUCUGUCUGCAGAGCUUCUGAUCCAAGGCAGCGUUCUGGAUCAGCGUGCAGGUCCU